UACGGAGGGGACUAGCGUUGUUCGGAAUUACUGGGCGUAAAGCGCACGUAGGCGGAUUUGUAAGUCAGGGGUGAAAUCCCGGGGCUCAACCUCGGAACUGCCUUUGAUACUGCAAAUCUCGAGUCCGGAAGAGGUGAGUGGAAUUCCUAGUGUAGAGGUGAAAUUCGUAGAUAUUAGGAAGAACACCAGUGGCGAAGGCGGCUCACUGGUCCGGUACUGACGCUGAUGAGCGAAAGCCAGGGGAGCAAACGGGG
rnacentral:rRNA from 1 species